UAAAAUUUAAAAAAAAGCUGUCCAGUGCC
rnacentral:piRNA from 1 species